CCAGCCGCCGCGGUAAAAACCAGCUCUUCAAGUGGUACGGGAAUAAUUAUUGGGCUUAAAGUGUCCGUAGCCGGUUUGGUAAGUUCCUGGUUAAAUCUGGCAGCUUAACUGUCAGUCAGCUAGGGAAUACUACUUUACUAGAGGGUGGGAAAGGUUUGAGGUACUCCAGGGGUAGCGGUGAAAUGCGAUAAUCCUUGGGGGACCACCAGUGGCGAAGGCGUCAGACUGGAACACGCCUGACGGUGAGGGACGAAAGCCAGGGGAGCGAACGGGAUUAGAUACCCCGGUAGUCCUGGCCGUAAACGAUGCGUGCUAGGUGUUGGUAAGGGCUUUGAGCUGUAUCAGUGCCGUAGGGAAACUGUUAAGCGCGCCGCCUGGGAAGUACGCUCGCAAGGGUGAAACUUAAAGGAAUUGGCGGGGAAGCACCACAAGGGGUGAAGCCUGCGGUUCAAUUGGACUCAACGCCGGGAAACUUACCGGGGGCGACAGCAGGAUGAAGGUCAGGCUGACGACCUUACCAGACAAGCUGAGCGGAGGUGCAUGGCCGUCGCCAGUUCGUGCCGUGAGGUGUCCUGUUAAGUCAGGCAACGAACGAGACCCACACGCUUAGUUGCCAUCAAAAGCCCUUACGGGUUUGUUGGGAACGCUAAGCGGACUGCCAUCAUAUAGAUGGAGGAAGGAGUGGGCCACGGCAGGUCAGUAUGCCCCUAAUCCCCCGGGCCACACGCGGGCUGCAAUGGUAUGGACAAUGGGUCGCGACUCUGAAAAGAGAAGCCAAUCCCGAAACCAUAUCUCAGUUGGGAUUGUCGGCUGUAACUCGCCGACAUGAACGUGGAAUCCCUAGUAAUCGUGUGUCAUCAUCGCACGGUGAAUACGUCUCUGCUUC
rnacentral:rRNA from 1 species